rnacentral:rRNA from 1 species
UACGUAGGGGGCAAGCGUUGUCCGGAUUUAUUGGGCGUAAAGAGCGUGUAGGCGCCAGGUAGGUCUGCUGUGAAAACUCGAGGCUUAACCUCGAGCUGUCGGCGGAAACCAUCUGGCUAGAGUCCGGAAGAGGAGAAUGGAAUUCCCGGUGUAGCGGUGAAAUGCGCAGAUAUCGGGAAGAACACCCGUGGCGAAGGCGGUUCUCUGGGACGGUACUGACGCUGAGACGCGAAAGCGUGGGGAGCGAACGG